AGCGCAGGCGGUUUUUUAAGUCUGAUGUGAAAGCCUUCGGCUUAACCGGAGAAGUGCAUCGGAAACUGGGAGACUUGAGUGCAGAAGAGGACAGUGGAACUCCAUGUGUAGCGGUGGAAUGCAUAGAUAUAUGGAAGAACACCAGUGGCGAAGGCGGCUGUCUAGUCUGUAACUGACGCUGAGGCUCGAAAGCAUGGGUAGCGAACA
rnacentral:rRNA from 1 species